UACGUAGGGGGCAAGCGUUGUCCGGAAUCAUUGGGCGUAAAGAGCGUGUAGGCGGCCCGAUAAGUCCGCUGUGAAAGUCCAGGGCUCAACCCUGGAAUGCCAGUGGAAACUGUCGGGCUCGAGUCCGGAAGAGGCGAGUGGAAUUCCUGGUGUAGCAGUGAAAUGCGUAGAUAUCAAGUGGAACACCAGUGGCGAAGGCGGCUCUCUGGUACGUGACUGACGCUGAGACGCGAAAGCGUGGGGAGCAAACAGG
rnacentral:rRNA from 1 species